AUUGAACGCUGGCGGCAGGCCUAACACAUGCAAGUCGAGCGUGCGGCGGACGGGUGAGUAAUGUCUGGGAACCUGCCUGAUGGAGAGGGAUAACUACUGGAAACGGUAGCUAAUCACGCAUUCCAUCAGCUGUGCCUCGAGGGGAUUAGCGAGUAGGUGGGGUAACGGCUCACCUAGGCGACGAUCCCUAGCUGGUCUGAGAGGAUGACCAGCCACACUGGAACUGAGACACGGUACAGACUCCUACGGGAGGCAGCAGUGGGGAAUAUUGCACAAUGGGCGAAAGCCUGAUGCAGCCAUGCCGCGUGUGUGAAGAAGGCCUUCGGGUUGUAAAGCACUUUCAGCGGGGAGGCGUUACCCACAGAAGAAGCACCGGCUAACUCCGUGCCAGCAGCCGCGGUAAUAC
rnacentral:rRNA from 1 species